CUGAAAAUCAUCUCUGCUUUUCUGAUUCAUACUUUCUUCUCAAUUAUGAAGUAUCAAGUUGAAAUUAAAACCUCAGUGUGGCUUACAAUCAGUGUAACUACAUUGUAAAAAUAAUGCUGAUUGGAGUUACCCUUCAUUAAGACAGAUCAGAAAUACAUAAUUAAUUAAACUGCAUACUUUAAAUUAUAAGAAAUAUAAACCAUGCAGUUAUAUGAUGAAAUGAUGAGCAAUAGGAACAUUAAAUGCUCUAUGAGAAUAUAUGGGUUUGUGGGACAGAAACAAAACAGAGAAGCAGCACCAGUGUCUGGAAUUUGGCUUUCAGCAGCUUCUCCAAUCAAUGCUGGCAACUCCAUAGUUCCCAGUAAUGUGUGAGAGCUUCUGAGACCCCACAGCUUGGUCAAUCAUCAUAAUUAUGAUUAUGAGACAACAAACACCUUCAGUGUAUGAUUUAAUUUCCUGAACUGCAAGAGUAUCUGUGUUAACAGGGGAAUUGGAGGAAUUACUGCUCUGACCAUGAGUAAAAAAUUCAGUAUCAAGCUGCUGGUAAGGCAGAUUGUGAGAGUGUUUCCUGACUUCAGUUCUCACCAACAGCUGAGACAAUAUGUGAGAAAUGGGAAAUGGGAGUGACAGGAGAGCCUGAGACACACAGAGACCAAAAGAAAUGUGCCAGAGAGUUGGCCAGCAUGGGAGAACAACCAGUACUUCCUCCCAGUUGCAUUAAAAUAAAGUGAGAUAAGA
rnacentral:lncRNA from 1 species